rnacentral:rRNA from 1 species
AGAGUUUGAUCCUGGCUCAGGACGAACGCUGGCGGCGUGCUUAACACAUGCAAGUCGAGCGGAAAGGCCCUUCGGGGUACUCGAGCGGCGAACGGGUGAGUAACACGUGAGUAAUCUGCCCUCCACUUUGGGAUAGCCCCGGGAAACCGGGAUUAAUACCGAAUGUUCACUUGGUCUCGCAUGGGUCCGGGUGGAAAGUUUUUCGGUGGGGGAUGUGCUCGCGGCCUAUCAGCUUGUUGGUGGGGUAAUGGCCUACCAAGGCUUCGACGGGUAGCCGGCCUGAGAGGGUGACCGGCCACACUGGGACUGAGACACGGCCCAGACUCCUACGGGAGGCAGCAGUGGGGAAUCUUCCACAAUGGACGAAAGUCUGAUGGAGCAACGCCGCGUGAGUGAUGAAGGUUUUCGGAUCGUAAAACUCUGUUGUAAGGGAAGAACAAGUACGUUAGGAAAUGAACGUACCUUGACGNACCUAUAGAAAGCCACGGCAACA